UGAUCCAGCCAUGCCGCGUGCGGGAGAGGCCUUCGGGUUGUAAACCUCUUUUAGCCGGGAAGAAAACGAGCGGGCUAACACUCGGCUGUUCUUGACGGUACCGGCGGAAUAAGCACCGGCUAACUACGUGCCAGCAGCCGCGGUAAUACGUAGGGUGCGAGCGUUAAUCGGAAUUACUGGGCGUAAAGCGUGCGCAGGCGGUUCGUUAAGUCUGAUGUGAAAGCCCCGGGCUCAACCUGGGAAUGGCAUUGGAUACUGGCGGGCUUGAGUGUGGCAGAGGGGGGUGGAAUUCCGUCGUGUAGCAGUGAAAUGCGUAGAGAUGCGGAGGAACACCGAUGGCGAAGGCAGCCCCCUGGGCCGACACUGACGCUCAGGCACGAAAGCGUGGGGAGCAAACAGGAUUAGAUACCCUGGUAGUCCACGCCCUAAACGAUGAUCACUGGGCGUUCGGGGAGCGAUCGCUCGGUCCCGUAGCUAACGCGUGAAGUGUGCCGCCUGGG
rnacentral:rRNA from 1 species